rnacentral:lncRNA from 1 species
CGAUUUUAACGCAUAGCAUGUCUACGAACUCGUAACGACGUGCUCUACAACUUUCAUGAAGAAAGUUUUCUCACAAUAAUUUUCCUACAAAAAGUCAACCCUAUGGUCCUUAAGGGUAACUAGUUACUCAUCACGGUAAAAAUCCGAAGUAAUACCAACGGUAAAUAACCGUAAAAUAACUUAAGAACCGGGAUGUGUCACUGAUGGUAAAGAAAAUUAACAAUAAAUUUUAACUAGCUAGUCAGAGCAAGAAUGAAAAGAUCGAUAUUGUAGAUAAUUUGAUGUAUCGUAAUUGGAGUUUUGUUGCAUUGUCGGGGAUCUUUUAAUUAGUCUCUUACAAUGAGCUAGAUUCCUCAUUUCUGGACCAUUACAUACAAAUUUAGAACGGAGAAUGCAAGACUUAAUGUCUUAACUUACCAAAAGAGGAAAUCAAGAGAGUGCAUUGUAAAAUACAGGCCCGGACCUAAUAGGAGUCCGGAGAGCCUGUCGACUCAGGGCCCAGAGAUCUAGGGGGCAUAGAAAAAAAAAAUCACAACUCUCUCCGAUCCAUUAGUAAAUGUAGUUAGAAAAAAAUAUAUGCAGUUAAAUAAUGCAAGGAAUAAUAUAUUAUGUCAGAGCUUCUCUUUUUUACUGUAAUAAAAGAAACAAAAGGGUACUGACAGUAGGGCCCAAAUAAGUAUGUUAUAAGUUUAUAUAUAUAUAUAGAGGUACAUUUAUACUAUAUAACUAAGAAAAUAAUGUUAAAAGUCUAUACGAUUUAAGAUUUUGAAAGAGGAAAAACCUACUUGAAAAUUGUACCCAAUUCGUAAAUUUCAAAAAGAAAAAAGAAGAGGUCGGAGCUCAAAAUAGGUUUUAUAAUGUAAACAAAAUUACUAAAAUGUUAAUCAUAAUCUAAAUAAUUUGGAUAUGUUUUAUAGUAAAUUUUGAGUUUAUAGAUUUAGUUUUUGAAAAAUACCUAGAUGCAAACUACGAUUUAAGGGCCCAACGUUAAGAGUUCGACUCAGGUCCAAAAAUCUGAGGUCUGGACCUGGUAAAAUAGAGUUUGCAAAUUUUAAUUUUCUAAAAAACAAUUAUUGUAGGUCGAUCGAUUUUUUGUUUUGAAAGGGUCGAUCGAUUCUAUAUUAACCUGAUUGUCAGCUGAUACAAGAUUUUUGUUCCUUGUUAUAUUAGGAACACUCGAGACUUGCUAUCAGAAAGAAGGACCUCACCGGCUCACCCUAGCAUUGUCUGCGACUCUAUUCUGUGAUCGAUGAUAUACUAGCUCAAUAAGAUUUGCUGCAUGCUUUCUUCGACUAGUUCAUAAUAGGGAAGCUUCGUUUGUUGCAUGUCGGCAGGACUUUAUUAUUAUAGCCCCCAUAAACCC